rnacentral:rRNA from 1 species
AACGAACGCUGGCGGCAGGCCUAACACAUGCAAGUCGAGCGAGACAUUCGGGUCUAGCGGCGGACGGGUGAGUAACGCGUGGGAACGUGCCCUUUUAUCCGGCAUAGCGUCGGGAAACUGAGCGUAAUACCGUAUACACCCUUUGGGGGGAAGUUUGAGCGGAGGAGGAUCGGCCCCAGUUGGAUCAGAUGGUUGGUGGGGUAAUGCCCUCCCAAUCGUACGAUACAUAGCUGGUUAGAGAGGAUGCGCAGCCACACUGGGGCUGAGGCACGGCCAGGAAUACUAGGGGAGGCAGCAGUGGGGAAUCUUAGAAAACGGGGUCAGCGAUGAACUAGCCAGGCUGCGUGAGUAAUGAAGGCUGUAGGGUAGUACAGUUCUUUAAGCUGGGAAGAUAAUGACGUUACCAACAGAAGAAGCCCCGGCUAACUCCGUG